rnacentral:rRNA from 1 species
UGGGGAAUAUUGCACAAUGGGGGAAAUCCUGAUGCAGCGACGCCGCGUGCAGGAAGAAGGUUUUCGGAUUGUAAACUGCUUUAGACAGGGAAGAAAGAAAUGACGGUACCUGUAGAAUAAGCUCCGGCUAACUACGUGCC